CUCCUCUCUCUCGGUAUCCGGAGCCACGGGGGCAGUGAAGACGUCCAUCUUUGUGCCCACAUUCUCCAUGCAGCCCCUCUGCCCUGCCCUGUCCUUUGAUUCUCAGUGUGAAGCCAGCUGUUCUUGGAUCCAGACACAGAAGUGGAGCUCCUGUAUCCACGCCCUCGGGCUGCGCUGAGAGGCCGCCGCACCCCUGGGUGCAGCUAGAAAUGCAACAUGGGGAGCAGGCGGGGCUGGCACUCCCGCUGGGAUGCGCCCUCAGGGAUGCCAGAGCCCUGGGGCCCAGGGAGCCUCUCAGCCCCUCCUUCGGUCACCGUGGCCUCCAAGUGGCCACCAGCUGCUGACCUCCACCAAUGGCGUGCAGGGCCUGAGCUCUCCGAGGGAGCCCCGCCUCAGGGCAGAUCGUUCUGAGAGCAAACACGCUUCUCCAGACGGCCAGAGGGACCAUGGCUCGGAAGAGGCUCAGAGGCCCUGGUCUGGCCCCGUCUGCACCAAGCAGUGCCCGGUGGGCAGUGACCGGCCCAGGCGGGGCCGGGACAAUAGCCCACGUCUGCAUCUGCGGGCCUGCGGCGCCUGCCCCCCUCUCCCCUCCCUCCCCUCCCUCCCCGCG